GCCCCCUCGCCCGGUCCUCCAUGCUCCGAAGGCACGAUUCCCCGCGGCGCAGCGCGGGUUUUGCAAAAGGGUCCAUUCGCAGGCCAUCCACACAGAAGGCCGGAGCCCCAAGUCAAAGCUGCCUCCCCAAAGCUGGGGCUAGGGCCAUGGACGGGAUAAAGACACAGGGUGGCCUGGGGCGCCGAGCCGCCUGGAGGAAGGAAAGGUGAGGUAGAGGGUGGUCUCUGUUUGUAAUCGGGCUUCAUGGCUCGCCUGGGGAUGUGGCUCGGCCUAAGAACACUUCCUAGCUGAGGGCCCCAGGCCCCGAGAUGCAUCCCCAGCACCACAAUAAGACACUGGAAAAUAAACCCACGUCAUGGCUCCUCCGAGGAAGCCUGUUCAGACAGUGGUGGGAUUAGUAUGCUCCACUGGAGCGGAGGUGUGGCCUUCUGAUGUCAAAAGGUGGAGGUCAUAUACCUGCACAGACCCACAGGAAGGAGCAGUGGUUCCAACAAGUUUAAACUACCUCUAAGUUCCUGAAAACCACCUAGGCCACCUCUGCCGUGGUGAGCGGCCAACAGGGGGAGUUGCGGUGUUCCACAAAGCAAGCUGCAAAGUCUCCCAGAAGCUGAGGUCCCAGUGAGCAGUGUCCAGAGUUUUCCUGCCUCAGCCUCCCAAGUCACUGAGAUUACAGGCAUGCACCACCACGCCUGGCUGGAAGGGUAUAUCUUGUCCCUGGCCCUGUCUGCUCUCUGCUGCCAUGAGAUAAGCAGCUUUCCUCUGCCAUGCCCUUCCACCAUGAUGUUUCUGCUUUGGAGCCAUCCAAACAUGCAAUGAAGCCUCUGAGAACAAGCCAAAAUAAAUCUUUCCUCCACAAA